rnacentral:rRNA from 1 species
ACCGGCGGCUCGAGUGGUGGCCACUAUUACUGGGCUUAAAGCGUUCGUAGCUGGCUUGUUAAGUCUCUGGGGAAAUCUUCCGGCUCAACCGGGAGGCGGCUCAGGGAUACUGGCAGGCUAGAGACUGGAAGAGGUGAGCGGAACUCCCGGGGGAGCGGUGAAAUGCGGAGAUCCCUGGGGGAACACCUGUGGCGAAGGCGUCUCACCAGGCCGGCUCUGACACUGAGGCACGAAAGCUAGGGGAGCAAACCG